AUGUUUGAGACCACUGAGUCCAGUGCCUGUGGUCAAAAUGGUUCCUUGGUGCCUGGGAGCAAGAGGGUAGAUGGAGAAUGGAGAGAAAAACAAGCUCUGCUUUCAGCCUACUCAACGCUGAUAAGUUCCAGUUGUGUGGACUCCGCUGCCUCUGGGAUGGUCUUCCCUCAGGGAGGCUCAGCAUUCACCUCCUGCGGCUGCUCCAGCUUCCCUAAGCACCUGCUUGUUCAGGAGUCCAAGCAGAUUUGCUUGCACCUUGCUGAGCAGAUUCCCAGCCUCCUCUGUAGAGCCACAGACACCUUAGAUGAGUCUAGACAGCUGGUGGAUUUGGGGGCUCCCUUUGGUGUGUUUCGCCUGCCUCCCUACACUCCCAGGGCCCAUGCAUAUGACCACCAUGUGUCUAGGAAAGCUCUCCACCCAUCAGAAUUUGGUCAUGUUUGGUCACAGCUGUCCAGACAUCUGCAGGUGGCUCUCGACGCACUGGCUUGGGAGCUCUUGGUGGUGCCCUGGCGUACUAUUACCUUGGGGAGUCAGCCCUUGACUUAUGCCUCUUUCUCUUGAUGAGUUCUAAGCCAAUCAAGGAGUGACUGAAAGGUGACCCGCUGGAAACUUCUCUGCUUGAGGCUGAGCUUCCCUGCCUCAGGGGACAGAACACACUCAGAGCAGAGGACAAACACCUGCUCACCAGGAGGCCCAGCAAGCACAGAACAGUACCUUUCUCGUACCCACUGGGGCACUGACAACAUUACAGCUGGACCCCAUCCCAGCUGUUAGACAGGCCACCCAUCCUUGAGGACAGAGUUGAGAGGCAGGCUGGACAAGUGGAGCAGGGAGAAAACUUCUUAGGGGUAGACAGACUGUCGCAGAGCUCCCUAAGCCCAACCUUCUUGAUCACAGCUCUGAAGCUCCUGACCUUGAGAUCAUCUGGGUCCAGGGAAUGGACAGCAAUAAUAGCUCUGACAUGCUCUCUUCCCUCUUGGCUCCUCUCUACCCCUUGCCACUGUAUCAGAGCUAAUGCCACUUCUCCAUCCAGAACUUGCUUCCAAUAAAGAAUCAGAGAGAAGAUAUAGGCAUAGAUCUUUUUUCUUUUCUUUUUUGGUACCAGGGAUCGAACUUGGGUCCUGGUACUUUCAAGUCAGGCAGUGAGCUAAAGUGAACUAAAUCCCUGGCCCUAGGCAUAGUUUUUAUUACCUUCAGGAGUUUAUUUGGUCCAGUCCACGAGUGGGGUCCAGUUCCAAGGUGCCAUCAGGAAUCAGGAGUUCUGCAAUGGCCACACAGAAGCAGCACAGGCAGGCUUGGCAGUGUGCAUGCGCCUGAAGGUGCUCUGAACUAGCUUUCCUCAACAGAUGUGGAAAAAGAAAGCCACAGCACGUGGCCUCCUCCCCAGGGCUGUGCCGUGAUUUGCACCUUGAACACAAAUGGCAGAAUAUUUUAAACAGAAACACUAGGCUGAGUCCGAGGUACUCAUGGGACGACAUCAAUUCUUUCAACCAGUUUAACUGAAGUAAUAACAAGAACAGCAGCAAAAAUGCCACUGACGGUGAUAAAAGUGGUGGUGAUGGUGGUUAUGAUAAUGGUGACAUUAGCAGUGACGGUGACAUUGAUGGUGAGUGCAUGGCAUGCUAAGUCUAUGCCAGGGACAAUGUUCUCUCCCUCCUUAUGACAAGGGAAGCACUGAGAAGCAUUUUGGAGAGUGGUCCAGCUUAAGCAGUGACAAAUUAGUGGAUGCUUACUCCCUGCUGUCCUAAGGAGUGCUCAAUGUAUUGUCCUCAAAACUGCAGACGGAGUCAGGGAAUACUCUCAGGAUUUCUCCCCUAUUCACUUCCAGAAGUUCUCUGUUUGCCUAUUUGUGAGUCAUUUAUGAAUAACCAGUGGGGAGCCUCGUCACUGAGAUACAUCCACCACACUUGGCUCUGCCCGGGGCUGCAGACGUCGUCUCCCAAGGUGGUACAAACAAACAAUUAUCACCGUCUUCACAGAUCCUGCACUCAAAAUUGCUUGUCGGACUUGGGAAUAGCACUUUUCUUUUGCAAGAAGAUCAUGUCUAUGUGUGCUGCAAUUGGACUCUGCUUUGGUUUGUGUCAUUGCUAAGAUGUAAUAAGGUUAGCCAGGAUUGAAAUAACUGUCACCGAGUCUCUUGAAAGCAAGACUGCCUUCGGCAGGGAAUAAAAAGUGGGUGAAAAUGCAUGUAAUGGAUUUGCAUUCAGAGCUGGCCAAGGACUUGGUGCUGAGGAAAAUGAGUGGCCCAGCAGGCCUUCCUUGCCCAGAGUCUGGGUAGCCCUGUGUGCCGGGGUAGGGAUGUUUCCCUGCUUCUUAUCAAUGCAUCUGGUGUCCAUCAAAGAGCCUAGUCUGGGUGAUGGGAGGGUGUGUGGGAUUCAUGUGGAGAGGGAAUGGAGACUUUAAAAUACACACAUGGCAGCAUGAAUUCCAGCUCCCUUACUUGCUGAGCAUGUGGUCUUGGACCUGUUUCAGAUCUGUAAGUGGAGAAAGUGCAUUGUGACCUCCUGGAUUAUCAAAAAUGCUUGAUGAGAUGAGGUGUAUGAACCAUGAGAAGUCACAGGUGUUGGAAGCUGGAGGUCAGGGGUGUUCUCCCCUCUCACUCUGCCCCAAUCUGGCAUGACCAUCUGAGUCUUUGGACCUCCUCUGAGUCGCCUGCCUCCAGGUCAGUCUGCCACCCCAUUGUCGCUGUGUUCUCAUUCAGCCCACGCUUGUGUUAACCCCACAUCUGGUUAUCUUUGAGGGUUUAGUGAGAUUCCAACAACAUAAUGUACCAGAGAGACAUGAAGGAGCUGAUGUAAGAUUAAAAAUUUCCACUUUCAGAUAAGGACUAUUUACUCAUUAAAUUUAAACCCUAUUUCCAGGAAGUCUAACCCUACACCUUGUCUCUGAUACUUCCUUCUUGGUGUGAACUCCACAAAGUUGUUAUUGUUUAAGUCCAAAAACAGCUGAAUAGUUGGCAAUUUUAUAAGGUUCAGGUCUGCAGCUUUAAACUCAUCUCACUUCUCCAAGGUCCAGGGCUUUGUGUGCUCGCUAGAAAUCACCCCACCCCACCAGGCAGUCAUGGACUGCCGAAUGCUGAGUACCUCUUGGCUAACUGUGAGCCUUUGCAACAGUACUCUGGGCUGUAUGCUAGCUGGCUGUCCCUGCAUGAGGGGAAUCUCUCUCUAUGACCCCCACCUGCAAGGCCACUGGACAUGGUACACAGGCUGCAUCACCCAUUGAUCAAAAUAUCUUUUAAAAGAGCAGUGCAAUGAUUUCCGAGUUGGAAACAGGCAAACUUCUUCUUGUCUGACCUGCCACCUUAUGCANNNNNNNNNNNNNNNNNGGAAUGCCAUUGGAAAGAGCACAGAAGAUUGUUUGGGAGUCUGGAUUUUUCUCCCUCUGUAGUGACCUCAAUGUUGCAGCCUGAGGCAGCCCUGGGCUUCGAACACAAAGGACAGACUCCUGCAUGGGCUCACUUGAAUCGAUCACAUGUGAACUGUGAGGUGUAGUACGUGUGUGUGGGAUGCGGUAUGGUAUGUGGUAUGAUGUGUGUAGUCAGACGACUGAAUUUACUGUCCCUGACUCCCUGGGCACACUUUCCAGAGCCACAGAGCAGAGCAGAGGACAGGCCCCAGCAGUGGGGCAGGUGCAGUGUCGCUAUCUCCAGUCCAGUGCUGCUCCAGCUUAUGGAGGUCACUCUGCGCUCACCUGGCUGUCCUGUUAGGANNNNNNNNNNNNNNNNNNNNNNNNNNNNNNNNNNNNNNNNNNNNNNNNNNNNNNNNNNNNNNNNNNNNNNNNNNNNNNNNNNNNNNNNNNNNNNNNNNNNUUCCUCCUGCAUGUUGGGUCAGCAUAGGCUGCUACGCCAGCUCUUAGCUCUCCACCCAUUUAAUUCUCGGUUCUUUUAAAAAAACACUUAUUAAG
rnacentral:lncRNA from 1 species